UUGCUUGUAAUAAAGUUGUUCUUCCUUCGUCAGGUCUUACUUGAGCUUCCUUCUCAUACUCUUGCUUCUUGUUCUAGACCAGAGAGAGCUUUCCCAGCAAGUUAAUGAGUGAGCUUGACUGUGACCUUCUUGUAGUAACUCAUAUCUACCUCUCUUGCAAUACCUACUUCUCUUGCAAUAUCUACUUCUCUUGCUUUCUAUAGAGGUUAUGUUGUAAGGGUUAUAAGUUAGGUUAUUAAGUAAGAGUGUUAUAAUAGCAUUAUUACCUUCCCGGAUGUAAUAAAUCUUCUUGUCUUGCUUUCUCGACAAGUUAAUGAGUGAGCUUGACUGACCUUCUUGUAUGUAGUAAUUCCUAUCUGCUUCUCUUGCUUUACGGAAUGAAUAAGUUGUGUUGUUGGUUCAGUCUUUCUUUACUCGUCACGUUAGGUUAGUUAGCAUUACCCUUUU